UACGUUCAUCACUCUUUAAGGGUGACGGAAGUAGACGAAAGUCGAAGGAACGCAUG
ncrna:unclassified sequences Glutamine riboswitch